rnacentral:rRNA from 1 species
CCUACGGGAGGCAGCAGUAGGGAAUAUUGCUCAAUGGGGGAAACCCUGAAGCAGCAACGCCGCGUGGAGGAUGAAGGUUUUCGGAUUGUAAAAUCCUUUUGUUAGAGAAGAUAAUGACGGUAUCUAACGAAUAAGCACCGGCUAACUCCGUUCCAGCAGCCGCGGUAAUACGGAGGGUGCAAGUGUUACUCGGAAUCACUGGGUGUAAAGAGCGCGGAGGCGGGAUAGCAAGUCAGAUGUUAAAUCCUAUGGGUUAACCAUAGAACUGCAUUUGAAACUGUUAGUCUAGAGUAUGGGAGGGGUAGGUGGAAUUCUUGGUGUAGGGGUAAAAUCCGUAGAGAUCAAGAAGAAUACUCAUUGCGAAGGCGUCCUGCUAGAACAUAACUGACGCUGAUGCGCGAAAGCGUGGGGAGCAAACAGGAUUAGAUACCCCUGUAGUC